GAACUACGAGCAGUACUUUGUAAAGGCGCAGCAGGUGCGACGUGUGAUCUCCGAGGACUUCAGCGGGGUGUUCAGCUCUAGGGUAGAAGUGCUGCUCACACCCACCACCCUCGGUGACGCUGCGCCUAACGGGAUUUCAUCAGCGAGGACAACCGCACACGCAGUGCCCAGGAGGACGUCUUCACACAGCCUGCCAACAUAGCCGGUCUCCCAGCGGUCGCCGUGCCAACAGCGCUGUCAUCUCGAGGUCUCCCCAUAGGCCUGCAGCUGAUUGGACAACCACUACAGGGCAGGAUGUUGCUGGCAGUAGCCCACAGGAUGGAGCAGCGAGUGAGCUUCCCUCAGAUCCGUUUCCAUGAAGACAGUGAAGAAAGGCCAGAGACCUGAAAUAACCUGAGGCUCACUAGUACACUUUGACUUAGGCUGUGAUGUGCUGUGAAGGUUCUGUUGCCUCUGCCAGUGAUGGAGAAACACACCUACACACGUACCAUUGAGAUCUAUUACAUAUUUAGACCCUCUGAUGUGAUGUGUGUGUGUGUGAGUACUAGUGUGAUGCAGAAGCCUGUCCAGGAUGCAGUAUACCCUCAGCUCACAUGGUUGUUGACAGUGCGUGCAGUGACAUCAGCACAGAUGAACAGUUGGUCUGUGGCGUCCCUUUUGUGAAACUAGCGUGAACUCAACACCUCUGAGUAGCCAGAACCUUCAAACAUGGGUGCUAAACUCAACCCUGGACCACAGUCACCGUGGCAACCGGGGGAUGCAAGUCAUUUCCGGUCUAUCUCUUGCUUCAUGGGGUGAUGAUAUCAUUGGUGCGAAACACUCAUGAGAGUGGAAAGGUGAAGCAGGGAUAUGGUGUUCCUCUGAGAUGUGCUACUGUGAUGCAGAAGCUUCUGGAGGACACAUAUUUCUGUCUUUAUUUGAGGCAUUCUGCGUCCAGCCUGAUAUGUUCACAGGUAGACUCUGGCUGGCUGGCUGGUUAUCAAUCCUCUAAUAAAGUUGACCUGCUAAUGUUUCAAUAAUCAGGUUCUGGCAGCAAUGUCACACGUCAUCAUUCCACAGCUUGCUGGUUACUAGUGCUUGUUAGUAGACAUGCUAUUCUUAAACAUGUAACAUGAUUAAUGAGACUACAAAUCAGUGAGACAUAAAUCAUUUAUUAGAUGGACAUUGAUAGUCCACAGUUUAAGCCCUUAAAACACAGUUACAUGCAUUGACAUUGUUUUCAUUCCAAAUCCAGUAUGGAGCAUUCUGAUCAGUUCAUCACUACCAGGCCUAGCUGUGCCUAAUCUAGAAUGUUAAGAUGUGAA
ensembl:lncRNA